ACUUUUGGUUUGAUCGAGAGGCAAGAAUAUUUGAUACUCAUUCAAAAGUCCCGGGUUCAAAUCCCGGCCAUGGCA